rnacentral:lncRNA from 1 species
CAUGGCUGCAGGGAAGGGGGGUGUCACUGACUGCUGGAGGAGCCCGGGGUCCAGGGUUUGCACCAAGAGUCCCUGCGGCAGGUAUCAGGGAGACAUGUUUCACCCCCCCACCUUAAAAGCCCUCAGACCCCAAGGCUCCUGCUUACCCCGCUCCACACGGCCACUGGGGGGGCCAGGUCGAGAAGGGUCGAAGUUGGCCAGCUCCUUCUCCAUGUAGUACAGGACCCGCAUGGAGUCGUCCUGCUGGCUGGCCUGAAUCCUGUAGCCACUGCGGACUUCUAGGGACAGGGGGGUGGUGGUCGGUUUGGGAGGAUGGAUCCUGGCCCACCCCUCUCCCUUACAGGCACAUCCAACUUCGGGACGAUGGAUUCUCACCAGAGGCCACACUGCUGUCCGUGUCCCGAAGCAGGGGUACAUAGGAGCCUUGGCCACCAGCUGGGGGAGAGUGGCUGUCAGUGGCCGCGCACCAGGAGCAGAGCCCCUCCUCGGCUCCCAAGACACUCUUCCUUCCAGCCCCUGCCCCUCAGUGUCCAGAUGCCCAGCACACUCCCACCAGCUGUUCCUGCUUCCCCCGGCCUCACCUGAGCUACUCCUGUCAACGUCUCCAGGGUAUCCUCCAGGGUACCCGUUGUAGGCAGGGCCCAUGGGAAUCAUAGCUGGUGGGGGUGGGGUCUUGGCGGGAGACAGGUGGGCAUAGGUGCUGGGGGCAUAAAUGCUGGGAACACCUGAGGUGGCUGCUUUGCCGGCGGCAUACACUGUGAGGACACAAUCAACAGGAGAAGGGGGAUGAGGCAGGAGCCAGGCUGCCCCAUACCCAUUGGGUUCCGGAGGGACCUGGGCCUGGACCUCCUUCCCAAGCCGUCCUCUCCGCUGUAGAGCUUCCUUGGACAUCUGAGUCCCUGUUGGUCCUCAUUCCAUUUCUGCAGCAUCCCUGAGGCUGGGGGACACCAGCUUCACAGAGACCCCACCCCACUUCCUGUGUGAUUUUUCAGAGGGUGCACGCAGGCACCCACAGCCCCAGGGUGGCAGAACAAUGUUUCAUUUAACAGCAUGGUAAUUCGCCAACAUUUGUCAAUCAAAAGGUUUUACCUAAACUUCCAACUCCCCAGCUAACUUACUGGAAGAAGUGGCCACCCAUGGUCUGUGUGUUUACAGGGCAACAAAGCUGCCCUUUAUAUAAAGCCCAGAUGCUGGGUCCACCACUGUCCCCACAAGCCGAAAUCAAGUAUCCUCUUUGGCAGCCAAGCCCCUGUUCUAGAAAAAAUGAGUCAUCUGGGAGACGUGGGUCCUGCCCACCUGGUCACCUUCCAGAUUGAGAUGCAGUGGCAGGAGCCUCGGGAAUUAACUUGCCUGCCCCGGCCAAGCAGCAAAGUGUCUCCUCUAGUGUUUCUAACUCAUGGACUGCACCCAUUUCUGCCUGCCCCACCAGGCUCUAGGCUUGACAGUUCAAGGUCGGGGAGAAGAUGCCAGGUCUCCAGUGGGAACAGCAGCCAGGCCUCCUCCACAUCUCCAACCUCUGGUUCCUUCUUU